AGCGAACGCUGGCGGCAGGCCUAACACAUGCAAGUCGAACGAACCUUUCGGGGUUAGUGGCGGACGGGUGAGUAACACGUGGGAACGUGCCUUUAGGUUCGGAAUAACUCAGGGAAACUUGUGCUAAUACCGAAUGUGCCCUUCGGGGGAAAGAUUAAUCGCCUUUAGAGCGGCCCGCGUCUGAUUAGCUAGUUGGUUGAGGUAAUGGCUCACCAAGGCGACGAUCAGUAGCUGGUCUGAGAGGAUGAUCAGCCACAUUGGGACUGAGACUCGGCCCAAACUCCUACGGGAGGCAGCAGUGGGGAAUCUUGCGCAAUGGGCGAAAGCCUGACGCAGCCAUGCCGCGUGAAUGAUGAAGGUCUUAGGAUUGUAAAAUUCUUUCACCGGGGACGAUAAUGACGGUACCCGGAGAAGAAGCCCCGGCUAACUUCGUG
rnacentral:rRNA from 1 species